AAAAAACAACAAACCCAUCGAAGAGCUCUUGCCAUAUUCUCCUUUAUUCUUCUUCAGUGUGUGGUCGACCAUUCACUUGCUGUUAUUGCAAUCUGGUAACUAUUUCUCUCUCAAUUGUGAACAAGGAUCACCAUGGGAGAGAGUUCGAGCAGAAGGAAGAAAAGAAAACAAGAAGAAUCAGCCACUUCCUCAUCUGAAUCAUUUUCUGAAUCUGACUAUGAAGUUGAUAGCUCCUCUGAAGAUGAAAAACGGCGAAAGCGUCGGCACAAACGGCGUCGCGAGGGGGAGAGGAGUCGAAGGAGCUCCUCAAGGAGUGAUAAGCAUAGGGAGAGGGCGAAGAGAAAAAAGAAGCUUGCGAAGAAGCGGGAGCAUAGAGGCAGCAGCAGUAGUAGGAGAUCGAAACCAGAGGGAAAGAGGAAGUAUUCAGAUUCUAGUGAAUCGGACACCGGUUCCGGGUCAGACUGUGAUGACUUCCAGCCCGAGCGGCGAAGGGAUAGUCCUGGGGAUGUGGUCAAAG
rnacentral:misc_RNA from 1 species